CACCGGCGGCCCGAGUGGUGGCCACUAUUAUUGGGUCUAAAGGGUCCGUAGCCGGUUUGGUCAGUCUUCCGGGAAAUCUGACGGCUCAACCGUUAGGCUUUCGGGGGAUACUACCAGGCUUGGGACCGGGAGAGGUAAGAGGUACUACGGGGGUAGGAGUGAAAUCUUGUAAUCCCUGUGGGACCACCAGUGGCGAAGGCGUCUUACCAGAACGGGUCCGACGGUGAGGGACGAAAGCUGGGGGCACGAACCGG
rnacentral:rRNA from 2 species